UUUCAACGUAUUUACCAUUUCGCUUAAAACGUCAUUAAUAUGAAACUACGGACUGCGUGCUGUCAAUAAGAUGCGUUUAAGACAUAAUAAUGCGGGCAGGUUCAAACAUUACUUGUAAACACGUAACUCCGCUCACAUCUGUAACGCGCAUGCGCGAGUUCUUAGACGCCUGCAGAGCUCCGAGCGGACGCAGCACGAAGCGAAGUUACGGCAGCAGAGCGACAUGAACGGGCUGAUAGAACCACGACUACCGGCUCCACUACUCUGUUUCUGUGGGUGGUGGUUGCAUCUGAUGGAGGUUACGUCUGAUGAUGGUUGUCCCUGGACUGGUCCUGCCUUACCCCUGGCUUAAUUGCAAAGCUGAACAAAAUAAAAUGAUUUGAAUUGAAUAAACACGUUGACCAGAGGAAUCUGCUCCAUGCACUCUGACUCCCUUUACACAAAGAAUCCUCAAGUGAGGAUGAGGGAGAUGCAGCUGAUUUCAGGUAUACUAUCCCAACUCAAGUGAGGCACAUCUUGUUACAGAAUCUAUAAUGAAGUUCCAAUGAUUCAGAAAAAUGGUCUACAAACACAGAAUUGUUGAACACAGAAAUGUUGUUUCUGCACUUUUAAUUCCAUAAUUUAUUUUCCUGAAAAAUAUAUUUUAUUUCUGUAUUGUUUUUAAUUAGCAAAAGUGCU
ensembl:lncRNA